AGCAGCCGCGGUAAUUCCAGCUCCAAUAGCGUAUAUUAAAGUUGUUGCAGUUAAAAAGCUCGUAGUUGAAUUUCGGGGUUAGUAGGUUGGUCAUGCCUCUGGUAUGUACUGGUCUCACUGAUUCCUCCUUCCUGAUGAGCCGUAAUGCCAUUAAUUUGGUGUUGCGGGGAAUUUGGACUGUUACUUUGAAAAAUUAGAGUGUUUAAAGCAAGCUAACGCUUGAAUACAUUAGCAUGGAAUAAUGAAAUAGGACGUUCGAUCCUAUUUUGUUGGUUUCUAGGAUUGACGUAAUGAUUAAUAGGGAUAGUUGGGGCAUUAGUAUUCAAUUGUCAGAGGUGAAAUUCUUGGAUUUAUUUGAAGACUAAACUACUGCGAAAGCAUUUGCCAAGGAUGUUUUCAUUAAUACAAGAACGAAA
rnacentral:rRNA from 1 species